ACAGCGUCCGGAGAUCACACGCUCCGGGAAACCUGCGUGCUGCAGCCGGAUCCACGCCAGCAGGCUUGAGUUGCGUUAGACAGUAAGAGCAGCAAUCAAAGUGCUUUCUGUGCCCCCUGCAGUAGUCAGUGGAUCCUGUGUUUUGUCCGCCCUCUGAGCUGAGGAUGGGGUGACAGAUGCCAAGCAUUCUGGAUCAGCAUCUAACAACCCAUGUUCAGUUCCUGUGAAUUCGUCUCUAAUUCAGUUGGUGAAGAUCACUGUCUCUUUCAAUUCCAAGAUCCCCCGUCCUACUUCCUGCUGUGCGGAGAGACAAUGGAACACCCAUGGUCAUUUUGGAGCCUGGCGGAGGGCAUGGAGCGAGACUCGAUGAGCUUGGGUUUAGUGGCUGUGUAAGUCUAGGCCGCUAUCACGUGCAUUCGUAGUUAAGUCACUAACAGCUGCCCCAUGUAGGGAUGGCUUCCAGGGACAUUUCUGCCACCUGCUGUGCCCACCCCCAGCCUCCAAAGCUGUAGGGCUGGAAGUCAUGUGGCAGUGUGAUGUCCUACGGUGCCUGCGGCAGUAUGUGUGUGUUAGUAGAGAAGGAGCAAGGUUUGGAAUGUACGGAGUUAGAAGCUAGUCUGUGGAAAAUUCUUUUAAAUCCUAUAGCCCACUUACAACAGAAACUUGGUAGAAGUUUUUCCAAAUUUGUUAACAAUCCUAAAAAUUUACAUGACGUUGCUGAUUACAAGUUGUCAAACUGAAACUUUUCUAAAUUACCAAUAAUAAACAAAUACCCAUCAAUUAUGCUAAAGAAAAGACUAAACUAUCUUGAUAUUCUUGAAACUUAAAAAAUUGUUUCCAUAUGCAUUUAAUAAAGUACGAAAAAGAUGUUAUAUAGGGAUGUGUCAGGCAAUUAGUAAAAGUAUUAAAUUAUUUAAUUUUUUGAUGUAUGUUGCAUUUGUCAGUUUCUAAAAAUGUGUAAUUGUGAUUUCUUAUUCUAAACAAAUAUUCACUUUUAUACCUAAUUUUGAAUUUAUAAUUUUGUAUUCUUUUUUAAAAGAAAAAUUCCCAAAUUGUGUGUCAGGUUCUGUAAAUCCCGAACCUGACCCUGGAAGUUUGACCCCUCCUCGGCUGUUUGGUGCCUGCCCUGAAAGGCAGACUCUGCCUGCGCGGCUGGAAGCCUGGUGCUCAAGCUGCAGGCAGAUCCGUGAGUGGCCCAAGUCAUUUGUUUAAAUUUUUCAUGCACAGAACUAAAAUCUCCUGGAGUAUCUUGCCUUUCCUAAGACUUUAAAAAAUUUUUUUCAGUCAGGGGUAAAGCCAUAGGAGAUUUAAUGGGAUAAUCUGACUGUAGUUGAAAAUUGGAUGCUACCUAAUUGUGUGAAUUUCACCAAGUCAAUAAAUAUAUCUUUUUUGACCCCAAUUUCUUCAUCUCUCAUCUGGGCAUAAUUAUGAUGGUCCACCUCUCUUACAGGGUUAUGGUGGGUAUGACUGGGAUUAAAGGAGAGGUUAAAGUUUCUGAAAAGUACAGAGUGUUUUGCAAACAGAAGGAAUUGUGUUUUAUUUAUAAAGUCAAAGCACCCAUCUUCUAAACCUGAGAUUUUAGGCACUGAGAUUGGAAUUCCAAGUGAGUCAAUAUUUUCUGCAUUUGUUCCUCUGACAAUCACAACACUGUGUGUUGUAUAGGUCUGGCGCAAAAAGCCGUGGUGCCCUGAUUGUGGCAGGCGUGACAGGGCAAGCAACCAUCUCGCUAGAUGUUGUGGUUGUUCAAGGAUUUGGUGUAUAAGGGGGGCUUAAUCCAAUUCUCUUUCUCAAGCGCUGCUUCAUCGAGGUGAGUUUCUCCCUCUACACUGAAUCUUCUGAUACUUCUAAUUGACUUGAAAGUAUCUUGUGUCUCCUUGGAAAUGUCACCUAGCCCUUUUCAAGUAUACUUCCAGGCAACUAGGAUCAAUACAUCGCUUAGGUUAAGCAUAUUAGAUAGUGAUUGACAGCCCAAAUGGCAUAUGCUUCAGCAGCUAGCAUCAGUUCUGUGCUUAGGACCUGCUGCAACCCAUUCAUAUCUAGGAGCAGGUGUCAACAACCUAGGAAGCAACGUCUUGAGAAGAGGUGUAGCCUGGAGGCAGACACAGUGGAGUUGAUCACAGCUGGCCUCUAUAUUUCAGCUGGUCAGAGGGCUUGGAAUUCAGAGUCACUUCCAAUUAAACAGUUAUUUGCUGGGCACCUAUUUUGUUCCAGACAUUCUGUUGUACGUGAUGGGAUAUAACGAGAAUCAAGCUUGUCGGUCCCUGUAAUGAGCUUACAGUAUAGUCGUGGGUUAAACUCAUACACAACAUGCUCAUGUCAAUUGGGCUAAUGGCUGUAACAGCAGCAGGAAAAAAACUUCCAACAUCCAAGGGAGGAAUAGAUAAUGUCCUGUCCAUUUGGCCUUCAAUUUUCUUUAUUUGAACAGUGUGGAAGGCCUGAGUAAGAAGAGACUUAGGUUGAAAAAUUGCAAAUUAACCCUUACACCAGCUCAGCGCACAGAUGACUUGUUCUUUCCAUUUAACCAUCCAAUAGUCAUUUCCCUAAUGUGCUACUCACCUUACCUGGCCCUACUUAAAGUAAAGAAUAUUCACUUCCUGACUUCAGGGAGUCGCUGGUCUAAUACCAUGGUCUUCCAUGUGUGCAGACAGCACUGCUGGCUCUUGGGGGCAGGACGUGUCCUGCUGGGCAGCACAGCGGAGCAGCUCUAGGGGUUAUGUCUGUGGACAUGGGCCACCACAGCCUGGCCCAUGUCAUGGUUGAACAUGCAACUUUGGCUUCAUUUGUUGUGGCCCAAGCACCUGACAACCAUUGUCUCCUACAGAGCCCUGCUAUUCCUGGGGCUUUUGUUCUUCUAAGUUGAAGGGCAGUAGAGCGAAUAAACACAGACAAAAAGGUGUCUUCUCUGUGAAGGUACAAGGGAGGGGAAUGGAGAGCCACGGCCUUGGAGUAGAAGACCUGGAUUCUAGUCCCACCUUAGCUGCCAUGAGUGGCUUUUUUCCUGCCCUCCCCAACUCUUCUGAUACAUUCUCAAGCAGGUUGGGGAGGUGUGUGUGUAUGUGUGCAUUUCUAGACAUCACUACCUUUACCUGCAGGUCAAAGGCUUGGCUCUGUCUAGAUGGACUCAAGAGGGUUUGGGCAGUGAUGGCAGUGAGCCCGGGACAAGCUCCGCGGCGGCAGUCCUGUACUUCCCCCCGUGCCGGGCCACCUCCUCUAUUCUCCUGCUCUUUGACUCCCAUGCUUGUGAAUCUCGCCUUGGCUAACUGCUCGCAGGCCACUCUGGCAGCUCCAGCCAGCCUCCUCCUCACUGUUUGUGGGGCCCUGUGCACUGCUGCGCUUCUGGUUCCCCUCAUGCCUGGAUUUCCUGUGAGUUUAUGUCUUAAGGUGACUCUUUCCAUGCAGGUCAUGGAAGAAGGGACUUAUUGAGAUUGGAGACCCUGAAAUUCACUAAGUAAAAGGGGCACUGGUUAAAGGAUCUAAUGAAUGUAAAGCACUCAGCAUGGUCCUUUCAAGUAGG